rnacentral:rRNA from 1 species
AUUCCGGUUGAUCCCGCCGGAGGCCACUGCUAUUGGGGUUCGACUAAGCCAUGCGAGUCUAUGGACUUCGGUCCAUGGCGGACGGCUCAGUAACACGUGGCUAACCUGCCCUCAGGUGGGGGAUAACCUUGGGAAACUGAGGAUAAUACCCCAUAGGGGAAGAGGUCUGGAAUGAUCCUUCCUUGAAAGGACAUCCGCCUGAGGAUGGGGCUGCGUCCGAUUAGGUAGUUGGUGGGGUAAUGGCCCACCAAGCCUACGAUCGGUACGGGCCUUGAGAGAGGAAGCCCGGAGAUGGGGACUGAGACACGGCCCCAGGCCCUACGGGGCGCAGCAGGCGCGAAACCUCCACAAUGCACGAAAGUGCGAUGGGGGGACCCCAAGUGCCUAUGCACAGCAUAGGCUUUUCCCAAGUGUAAAUAGCUUGGGGAAUAAGGGCUGGGCAAGUCCGGUGCCAGCAGCCGCGGUAACACCGGCGGCCCGAGUGGUGGCCACUCUUAUUGGGCCUAAAGCGUCCGUAGCCGGUCCAGUAAGUCCCUGUUUAAAUCCUACGGCUCAACCGUAGGGCUGGCAGGGAUACUGCUGGACUUGGGACCGGGAGAGGACGAGGGUACUCCAGGGGUAGCGGUGAAAUGCGUUGAUCCCUGGAGGACCACCUAUGGCGAAGGCACUCGUCUGGAACGGGUCCGACGGUGAGGGACGAAAGCCAGGGGCGCGAACCGGAUUAGAUACCCGGGUAGUCCUGGCCGUAAACUCUGCGGACUAGGUGUCACCUGGGCCUUGGGCCCAGGUGGUGCCGAAGGGAAGCCAUUAAGUCCGCCGCCUGGGGAGUACGGUCGCAAGACUGAAACUUAAAGGAAUUGGCGGGGGAGCACCACAACGGGUGGAGCCUGCGGUUUAAUUGGAUUCAACGCCGGGCAUCUCACCAGGGGCGACAGCAUGAUGACGGUCAGGUUGACGACCUUACCUGAAGCGCUGAGAGGUGGUGCAUGGCCAUCGUCAGCUCGUACCGCGAGGCGUCCUGUUAAGUCAGGUAACGAGCGAGACCCGUGCCCUAUGUUGCGACUUCUUCCUCCGGGGAGAAGGCACUCAUAGGGGACCGCUGGUGUUAAACCAGAGGAAGGAGCGGGCAACGAUAGGUCCGCAUGCCCCGAAUCCCCUGGGCUACACGCGGGCUACAAUGGUUGGGACAAUGGGAUGCAACCCUGAAAGGGGAAGCAAAUCUCCUAAACCCAAUCGUAGUUCGGAUCGUGGGCUGUAACUCGCCCACGUGAAGCUGGAAUCCGUAGUAAUCGCAGUUCAACAUACUGCGGUGAAUGUGUCCCUGCUCCUUGCACACACCGCCCGUCACACCACCCGAGUUGGGUUGAGGUGAGGCCCUAGCCUUUGGCUAGGGUCGAACCUGGGCUCAGCAAGGGGGGUGAAGUCGUAACAAGGUAGCCGUAGGGGAACCUGCGGCUGGAUCACCUCCU